CUCAUCUUUAGCAUUUUAGAGUUCAGCAAUGUACACCUAGUGAUGUUGUAUCGUGUUCAUUUCAAACACUUAGGCUUAAUACCGCAACCAAUGGAUUCAGGGUUGUGUGUCAAAAUGUAGUCUAGGUUGCAAUCCACUUAGGCUUAUCGAUUUGUGCUUCGACUAAAUUCCGCACUUUCAUGUUUCUGGAAGUAUUUUAACAUUUGCAAUUCAAAAAUAGUGUACUUACUAUAGUCACUAUGCUCUAGUUAAAGACUCUUUUUCCUCCGUAGAAUAGAAAUGCCCCACGCACGCGACGAAAAAGAAAUUAAGGGUUGUUGUUCUCUCCUGGCCGAAUGCCGUCGGCACUCCUGCCGCUGCGUUUCGGCCCGAGAGGGGAUGUCUGUUUAUGACAAUGGUGUGACUACACAUCAGAAACAAGGUCCAGGUUACGUGGUUUCAUUCUUUAGAUCGAGUUGGACAAUGUGAUAUCGAUCUGUGCUUCUCAAAUCGUCAACGAGUAUAGGUGGAGGGCUUCGGCCUGUGUUUGUUGCUCGGAGGGGGGAAUCAUGGAGAUCCUGUAGUUCUUGUCUUUCUUAGACUUGGGAAGUUUCUGCAUCGGAGAAGGUGGAAAGAGGAACCAGUACAACUGGGUUUCAGAGAGUGGGCCGGUGUCGGUGGUUCGACGGGCUGGCGCGCCGAUGGGUUGGCGGUGUUGCGAUGUUCCUAUCUUGAAGGGGCGGAGUGGGGUACGGCAGUGGAGGUGGUGCGAACUGUGGGCUGAUGCAGUAGUGUUCUCGACUGGGGUGGGCGACGCGUAUAGGAUCUGUCAAGGCUCCAUGGGCCUGGCCUUUGAAAUCUUAGGUGUACAGUUGCCCUUGGGCUUACACGUCUUGAUCCAAGGGCUUGGGCCUAGGUCUGGGUUUUCAGCCCACAUGAGGUAUCUAUCUUAAUUUAAAGUGUUCAUUUAUAUUUCAUGUUAUUUCGGGCUUCAGUUUAUAGGCCCAUGUCACCCAUGUGGUGUGUUUUUUAUCCCUAUGUGGAUUAUUCUAGCUUGGUCUAACACGGGAGGACUUGAUUCCUCAUACUGGUGUCAAUUAGUCUAAGCUAUCCCAGAUUUUUGGUCUUCCAAUACCGGAACAACCCAUCAACUACUAUUGUAUGCCUUCAUGUGAGCUUGUGUGGCUACACGCUUAAAGUGAAAUUUCACACUUACCUAUUAGAUUAUGAGUGCUCACGCGUGGGUUCAUCACCCCCCAUUUUCGUUGGUUAUGGUUCUCGGUUCUCUCUCGUCAGCCUCAACUAUUCCAUGUCUUGGGUUUUGAUGGUGAAUUGUAUGGUGUUGUUUGGAGGGAGCUUCUCCUCUAGGUUGUGGAUUUCCAUAAGAUUUGUGUAAUGAGAUAUGAUUGGCAUUAGUUACUUGAACAUCAGUGCUCCGAUUUAGCACUUCUCAUCAUCUCAUGGUUACUAGCGGCGAUGGCGACGACGACGACGACAAUGUUAGCAUGCUUAGGUGGUGGUGGGUGUGGUAGAUUAGUUGGUAUUGUUGCAUUUACUUAUUUGUUAGUAGGGCCUUCGGUCCAUAGUUUAGCGAACUGUCAGUUUCUUUUCAUUGUUUCUAGCUUGAUCGAGUUGGAGACUCGUGCUCUUUAUAUUAAUUCCGUCUCGUUUUUGUAAGUGUUGUAAUUGGGCUUGUCCCUUGAUUAAUGAAAUAUUCAUUUCACAAAAAAAAUAUAUAUAUAUAUUCUAGUUAAAACUUAAAUAGAGGGACAAAAAAUUCAACUUAGUACGAUGUAUUUUGAAAUAUUUAAUUUAAGGCAUCUAUUUAUUCCACAAGGCUUACUCAUGAUUACAACACCUUAGCUAAGCUCACUUAAAAUCAACACAUGAGAAUAGCUCCGUAAAACUUGGUUGGUUCUAGGGUUUCAAUUUUGCAUUUUCCUUCCUGUCUGACGACGUAUCCGUUGAUGCUGUUGUCACUUGUCAGACGAGAAUUUUGUAGUGGCUAGUUGGUGGUUGUGCCCUGAUGAAUGGCAGUGGUGGAAUGAGUGAAAGUCUCUAGAGAAUGAGAGUGAAGACCUUCAUGAGGGCGAACUGGGAAGUUGUUGGUUAUGAGUUGUAGUUGGGUUCUGGCAGGGGGUUUGUCGUCGGAAUAUCGUUGUCGUUUGGUCUUGCCGGUGCGGGAGGUGAACUGGAUUGACUGCGUGAGGUGAAUACGAAGGGGAGAAAAUGACGGGAAGGAUGGCACUGGAUCGGACCCGAUUUGGGUAAGGUCUUUUCUUGCCUUGUUUUGUUUGUAUAUGUGGAGGGUGGUGUCUCCCUCGUGAGACAUGGACGGCGAUGCGCUUCGGAUGGCAGAUAGCAUUGGCGGCAAGGAGACCAGCUGGUUUACGCUCAGGUAUGAAGCUCUUUGGGUUGGGUUCAUUGGAGGGGUCGCCUCUUCAAGUCUAGUGGAUUUAGAUUGGGCAUGAGCUCUCUUGGGCCCAGGUCUAGGUCUCUUUUAUUUUAUUUCCUUUUUCUUUUUUGGUCUUCUUGUUUUUUUUUUUUAAGGGUUUGUUUGUUGGUUUUGUUGGUCUUUGGUGUUUGGUGUCCCUCCUCUUUGAUCAAGGGUUUAGGGGUUUGGUAGGAUGGUGUCGUUGGUUGUUGUGCCAUGGUUAUUGUGUCAUUUCCUAGGAUUAUUUUAACGUCGAUGUUUUCUUGUUGUCAAUGUAAUAAGGAGGUUGCAUGUACAUAUAUGUUGACAGUUUUAACAUAUAACUAGUGUUUGAAUUAAUUUGUUCUGCUUAAGGUUGACUGUAAGGAUAUGUCAAAGUUUCAUAAAUAGGUUAGGUUACAAUUGAACUGUAUUGGUUCUUGUCCAUUGUAAUCGUUGGUUUAGGUAGGGAUGAGAGUGAGAAAUUUAUUUCCACCAAUCAAUCUCUUAUGAUCUGUAAUUUUGGAUUAUAUUAUACAAAGUGUUUACCUUUUCAAAAGAAAAAAAACUAAAUUUUUUUCCACAUGGCUUAAUUACUCUAAAUAUUGCUUUACACAUAGUACCUCUUUUCUUUUUUUUUUUUUUUUUUUUUUUUUUGUNNNNNNNNNNNNNNNNNNNNUUUCUUUUUCUUUUUUUUUNUUUUUUUUUUUGUUUUUUUUUUUGUUUUUAGUANAAGAAUAAUACUANAUAUAUAUUAACUUAAAUGUUGAUUUACACAUAGUACCUCCUUUUCUUUUUCUUUUUUCUUUUUUGUUUACAGUAAAAAAAAAAAUGUUGAUGAGCAACAACAGCGUAGAAUACUGAUGACUAGCUAAAUACCAACAAUGCUUCUGCAUGAAUGAGCUAUAAUGCAUGCGAACCAUACCCUCUAGAUUUUUUGGUUGUGUUAUUUUUCUAUUUUUCAGUACAGAGCAUAGAUACAUUAUUGACAUACAAUGCAAGUGUAAAAUGAGAAUUAUAGUAGUGAAAAAAAUUAGGGAGAUGGAAGAGAAUUGUAGUUUCAUGAUGAAUUAUAUAUUAAAAGGAUGAUCAUUAAAUAAGAUAUUGGAGAAAAUUAUAGAUUAUUUUGUUGUCACCUUUAAUAUAUAGAUCCGAUUAAGUGGUGAUUGUGACCCGAUUUCUUUUGACGAUGACAAAAUUGUUGUCAUCUCGGUUGGCUUCUCAAGAUUGUCGUCGUCUCAUAAGCCGGUGAAAUGUAAUCAAAACUCUAAGACUCUAAGUAUCAAAAACCUAGAAUUAGUAAUAACAACUGAAAGUCAUUCGGUCCUCCAGCUGUAACAAAGAAAAAGAAAAACAAUUUAUCGAGUUUUAGCUUGGAACCAGAAACUCAAGUCCAAAUGUGACUCGCCACAACUUUCCGAAAUGCCUAAAAGAUCUGGUUUUGUAGGCAACCUUGAACUUUGAGCAGAUUCUUUGUUCCGUGAUUUCCCAGCCAGUGGGAGGAUUAAUUUGGAAAUAGAUGUUUCUCUUCUUUAGCAAGGAGACAAACGCAAUAUGUAACUGGUGGAUGCAAAUGAAUAUGGAUAGCCUCAUGCAUCAUCCAUGUAACCUUUAGACCUCCCUCACGGGCCUUGCACAUAUAAGCCACUCCCUCCAUUUAUACCAUUUCCAAUCUUCUCCUUGUAUUUUCAAAUCCAAUAACACCAACUAUGGCAGUGUCGGCCGAUCAUUGCCGGAUUUCCCUCUCCGUGGCCAUCCAGUCACGUAGCAGUGUGGCGCUGGCGGGGAGGAACCCGAGGGGGCUUGUGAAAUUUUGCAAUGGAGAAGUGAUGGGGAAGAAGCUGCAGCUGAGUCAAGUUCAGCAAGGAGGUAGUAGCAUUAAGAAUAAGAAGAAUGGUCAUGUUUGUAAGUCUCUGCUUACUGCCGAUGUAGCUGGUGAGUCCAAGGUGAGCUUUCAAGAACUCACAACAUAGAUGAAACAUGCAUGCAUUGGCCUAAAACAGAGUCUCAUUAGACAACCAUAAGUAGAACAAAGCAUAAUGCAUGGGGUAAGCUAUUGCCAAUCAUCAGUUCAUCAUGACUCUUGAUAUUUCUAUUUGCUUUUUGGUUGGGGUCUAAUUAGCAAUUACAUUUUGCCCCUAUCAAGUAUAAUGUUUUAGAAUUUAAAUUUCAGUUCUGUCCUCACGGUAAAAACUUAUUCCGAUUUCAUCUAAGAACAAUGAUUUUAUGUUGCAUCACAGAACUAUAAUUGGAUUAAACGUCAGAUUUUAUUACUAAGAGAAAGAAGUAUGGAGCUUUUAAGCAAUGCGAUGCAAUGUGAAAAGUACAAUAUGCUUUCAGAUGCAUAGGCCUACAUCUUCAAUAAAUUUCAGAAUUAUUUGAAGUCUUAGUACGUAGGCUUAUGAUUUGGACAUAAGAUGGUAUGAGAUGUACUUCUUUGAGAUCAUCAGGCAAUUGAAAUUGGUCAAAUUGAAGUCCAUGAUUAAGAGAGCCAGAUUCAAACUUCAGUCUUUGUAGUUCUGUUUUCAAAUUUUUGUUCUUACUACUAUAACAUGUUUUUUUCUCCACUUGGAAAAAAACUACUAUAACAUGCAGUAAUUAGCCGAAAGAACAAAAAUUACUACAGCAGUAGAAAAGAACACUCUCCACCAAAUUUUUGUUAGCAAGUGAAAAUAUGGACAUUCAUACCCAAUUGAAGUCUGGGGGAAGCGCAGUUCAAAGAACUAACAAGUUUCUGCUUCAUAACAACUGGAAAUUUGUCUAGUGCAGCUAAGGGACUUAGAUUUAGAGAGGCGAGACCCAAAGACCGUCGUUGCUAUCAUACUGGGAGGUGGAGCCGGUACUCGACUUUUCCCACUCACUAAACGGCGCGCAAAGCCCGCUGUAAGCUCUCUAUUUCCUUCUAAAAAGCUGCAACUUAUUUACUCUGUGUGAUUAUGUAAGUGGUUAAUGUUACUUGUUAUGCGACAUUAUAUCUUCUCAGGUCCCAAUAGGGGGAGCAUACAGACUUAUUGAUGUGCCAAUGAGCAACUGCAUCAACAGUGGAAUCAACAAAGUCUACAUUCUCACUCAGUUCAACUCAGCCUCACUUAACAGGCACAUUUCCCGCGCUUACAACUUUGGCAGCGGCACAACAUUUGGCGAUGGCUACGUAGAGGUAUGUUGGCUUCAUUGAGACUAAUAUUGUCAUAGCCAGCAAGUGGUUUUGACAAAAUGUUACAUGCACCCUUUGGCAUUACAGGUGCUAGCUGCUACUCAAACUCCAGGAGAGUCAGGUAAGAAGUGGUUCCAGGGCACCGCAGACGCUGUUCGACAGUUCCAUUGGCUUUUUGAGGUACUGAAACCCAACAAUUCAUUUAAUAAAUACAAACUUUUUCAGAAUCUGAAUUUUGUAGGAUAUAGAUUUUACAAACUAUGGAAGAAUAGCUAUGAGCGCAGAAUGUGUGCAAGGCUUCCCUUUGGUUGAAAUUGCUGACAGGAAAUUACAAAUUAUAGCUCAUUGUUAGGCAACUAGUUGUUUUUAGGAGAUAAAGACUAUCUGAGUAGGAUGGCCCUAAAAAACUGGCGCCAUGACAACAUAACACCAGUUUUUGCUGCAGGAUGCUAGAAGUAAAGACAUUGAGGAUGUCCUGAUUCUAUCAGGAGAUCACUUGUAUCGAAUGGACUACAUGGACUACAUUCAAGUAAACCAAAUUUUUUUACCUUUGCUUCGCUAAAUACAUUCAGUACUCCAAUUCUCAAACAUAACAAAUUUAUCUCACUCACAGAAUCACCGGCAAAGUGGUGCAGAUAUUACCAUUUCCUGUUUGCCAAUGGAUGACAGGUACGCUAUUAAUCUCACCAGAACUAUGUUUUUCUUGAACUUUCCUAGUUUUAUUAAUUUUCCUGGUAAUAUAAAUAUGACGAUCAAUAUUUUGAGACAUUUCCAUGACAGUCGAGCCUCAGAUUUUGGUUUGAUGAAGAUAGACAAGAAAGGAAAGGUCCUCUCCUUUAGCGAAAAGCCUAAAGGAAACGACCUGAAGGCAAUGGUAAUAGUCAUAAUGUUAUCACUAGUAAUUAACAUUUUGAACUGGCAUUAGACUAUACUCACUUACAUGCUCGUACUACCUGCAAACACCAGGCAGUAGAUACAACAGUUUUGGGACUUUCUGUGGAGGAGGCACUAAAGAAGCCAUACAUUGCUUCGAUGGGAGUGUAUGUCUUCAAGAAGGAGAUACUUCUGAAUCUUCUAAGGUGCUAAUUAUCAUGUAUAGAUUAUCUGGGUUAAGGAAAUUCAUAUUGUGCACACACAUACACACCCAAUGUUAUAGAAAUUUGAGAAAAUUAUGCUAACUAUUUGAGCCAGAUGGCGCUUCCCGACUGCAAAUGACUUUGGAUCAGAGAUCAUCCCAGCCUCAGCUAAUGAAUUUUUCAUUAAGGUCUGUAUUGAAUCUUUGUCUCAAGAAUGUUUGUGUUUUUAAACUUAAUCAAUAGAUGCAAUCAAGACAUGCAUAUCUAAUUCGAACUCACUAACCAGGCCAUACACUUCGCUAUAUAUUCUGUGCAGGCUUAUCUGUUUAAUGAUUACUGGGAAGACAUCGGAACCAUCAGAUCCUUCUUUGAUGCAAACCUUGCCCUCACUGAGCAUGUAAGUACAGCUAGAUGGUAAAAUAUCUAGUGCUUGAAGACAGUCACAAUGGUGUCUUCUAAUAUCGGAUGUAUCAUGAUUUAUGAAUUUUGGAAUCAUAAUUUUAGAUGAUCUGGUACCGUCGUAGAUAGAAUCUGACCCUACUUUAUUUGUUUCUUUCAGCCAAACAAGUUUAGUUUCUAUGAUGCAGCAAAGCCAAUGUAUACUUCAAGAAGAAACUUACCUCCAUCAAAGAUUGACGGUAGCAAGGUUAGUAGUCUUGGAGGCCUAGUCUCUGAUUUUCUCUUGAAGCUCCUCAACUGAGUAAUACCUUUGCAUCAAAAUGCCUGACAUCAAAUUAGUUGUUCAAUCACAAGAAUACUCUCGACAAAAACCAAGCAUAUAGAGAACUAGAGAAGGUACCUGUAUGAUGUAUCAAGGCAGAUAAUUUUGUAUUGUAAAAAUCUGCCUUGUUCUUGUGCAGAUUGUUGACUCCAUCAUAUCACAUGGAAGUUUCUUAACUGAUUGCCUUAUAGAGCACAGUGUUGUCGGUAUCAGAUCCCGGAUAAACACAAAUGUUCACCUAAAGGUUUGGUCUCUACAUUUUCUCAUUAUCUUUAGCUUAAGUUGGAAAGGUUGUUUAUGAUCAUCAAAAUAAAUGCAGGACACUGUGAUGCUUGGUGCUGAUUACUACGAAACCGAUUCUGAGGUGUUAUCACUGUUAGCUGAAGGAAGAGUUCCCGUUGGAAUAGGAGAGAACACAAAAAUCAAGUACAAGCUUCUUAAAAUCUCCUUUCUCUUUCACUAGAUACAAUGCUCAAACUCUUUCUUCUCCUAAUUCUUAAAUAUGGAUGUUAUUGCAGAGACUGCAUUAUCGACAAAAACGCUAGAAUCGGGAAGAAUGUUAUUAUUGCAAACACUGAGGUAUGGUAGAGUUACAUUUCCUAAAACUUUAAUCUAACUGCUGAUCUUCAAGCUCAGUUUUUUGUUCUUUGCAAUAUUGAUGUAGGCUUAUUCAAUUAGGUUUUAAUUUUUAUUUUCUGUUUAUGAAUGGAACUUCAGGGAGUACAGGAGGCUGAUAGAUCUUCAGAAGGCUUUUACAUCCGCUCUGGUGUAACUGUUAUAUUGAAAAAUUCAACCAUCGAAGAUGGACUUUCGAUCUAAAACAUCCUUCCAUCCUUUGUUUUUGCGUCUAUAUGGAUGGAACCAAAAGAGAUAAUGCAAUAUCAAUCACUAUAAACUACUCGUCUGAGUAGAGGAAGACACUUAUCAUGCUAAUGUGUAUAAACCUUGUUGUACAAGAAAUUCUGCCAUUUAAUUUUCCAGUGAUUCAUCAAAUCAAAGACUUGCACAAGUUAUAAUUUUCCAAUGAUGACAAUGUAUUGAACGUUGAGGGUUCUAAAACACAGUAAAGAAAGCACAGUCUGAUGUAAAUUCUCAGAAAGAUGAGGAUUAUGAAGAAAGGCUGAUUGAACACCCAAGUGACUCGGACCCAUUAAAGGUCGAUAAGAUUCCUAAACGGCUAAACCUUAACACAGGUCCAGCCCUAUUUAACUUGCAGGUAAAAAGCAUUAGUAAUUAAUGAUUAUAUUUCCAGAAUUGUUCUUCAACUAGACCCCUAUUUUUCACUGUAUAACCCUCCUCCCAUAAGUAAAGUGGCUCGUUUGACUCUCGUUUACUUGGAUAUCAAAGUGAUAUGGAAUGAAACAGCUCUAAUGAAAGGCAAUUUGUGUACACAAUUGAGGUAAAAUUGAUUCUAUACAAUUAGCUCUUCACAGUUAAACAUCAGUUCAUUUUCAUAUUUUUGCAAUACAAAUUGCUCCUCUGACAUUAUAAUGUUGGUUACAGUGCAUUUCUUGUCUGAAAACGGUUUCCUACCUGUUCUCCCAGCACGAUGUAGAUAAUCAACAGCAGUUCUUGGCAGAUCAAAGUUGUAUAUGUGAGUGGUGUCUGGUAGGUCAACCCCUCUAGCCGCUAUAUCUGUUGACACAAGGAGAUAGCUGCUUCCUUGUCUCAAUUCCUAAAUCAAGUAGAUCAAAAUGUCAGAAGAGUUCAACAAUGAAAACAUAUGGAUCCAAACAACAAGAGUACAAGGUCAAGAAUUGAAGAGUUUGGAUACUUUCAAAAGGUAUAUCAGAAACUCGAAAACAGAAAGGCCUUUCUAUUCAAGGCUUUAAGCACUCCAUCUCAGUUUUUAUUCCCUCAUAUAUGAAAUUGCAAAGAAAUAAUUUCCCAUAUGUGACCAUCCCAAGCUAUAAUGACAACUUUAACAUUUUUUUCAAACUACCAUAAUCAGAUGUUGGUUUUGAGAAGAUGACAUUAGCUUGAUUAGAUCUCAAAGUUGUUCCUACAUAUACUUGCAAUAUAUGCAUCAAUAAAAAGUCAAAUAUAAUACUUCAGCAUUUGCUUACUGAUAGAGAAGCUGCACGUGAGUUGAAAUUCAUAUCUUCUUCCAAAAGGAGGAUGUCUGAACAUCCCUGAUAUGAAGCCUUCAGGAAAUCAACUAAUAGAGUUGUUGGUGGAGCAUUUCCAGCCUUCUUUGACUUCUCGGACUAUAAAAUAGAUAACAACAUAUAUUUCUUAAAUGAAAUCCAUCCAUAUAGUUAUAAGGAACAUGAACCAUCCAACUUAGAAAACAUACUAUAGAUCGUAAACUUCUGUACACAUGAAUUGCCUAAAUGACUACCUUCUGGGUAAAGCAUUAAUAUGAAAUCAGAUGCAGCUCGGUUCAGGUAAAUUUAUAGGAUUGCUUCAGCCUAAAAAAUCAAUACAGAGCAAAGAUAUGUAGCACAAACCUGCUCGCCAACAAAAAUAAUGCCAGACUGCAUCUCAUCGGACUGUAAUAAGGACAACAAGGUUUCAUGCCUUCUGUUUUUACCACUUAUCUGUUAAGCCAAGACAGAAUUUUGCAGAUCCGAAACAGGUUAUUAAAAACAUAAAUUGACAGAAAAACCUGUGAGAAGAAUGGAGUUGAUUAUUGAAGAAAUUUCAUACCACAAAUCUAUGGUGUAAACAUGAUGGCAUGGGCUGAACCGGAUUGACGUGGAUAUGAAUUGCAUCAUUCUGUACAGUGUAUACACACAAUUAUGCAUGUCCAUAGAGUCAGCAGAGUAUGAGUAUCCAAAUAAAGGUGUAAAGUAGAAACAAGAACAAUAGCAGCAAACCUUGGUCCAUUUCUGCUGUAUACAAUCAUGUAAAAAUCGCCUAUGCUGAGGAAUGGAAGCGCUGGCAAAAACAGUCUGACGGCUAUUGAUUGACGAGUAAGACGUCAAAAGCUUCCGAAGAGAGCUGACUUCUUUUGAACCGAACAUGAAAUCAACCUAACCAAACAGUGCAAUACGAAAAAUUAAUAAAUCCCACAACUCACAGAACAUCCCAUCUGCCAUUUAGUGUUAAGACUUCAAACUCUAUGCCACAAAAACAGCUGACGAGAUAACAAAAUACAAAUUGUCUUCCAAAGUUCCAAUUUACCUCAUCGAUCACCAACACUCGCAUUGACUCAAGCUUAAUGAGACGCUUCUCAAGCAUAUGGCACAAACUCCCUAUCGUUGCCACCACAAUUGUAGGCGGCUCUGCCUAAGACAAUAAUAAAGCCCACAAAAAAUUUAAAAAUAAGAAAUAAAAAAUUCCCUACAAGACAUGAGAAAAAUAUCAAAGAAUAUUGAACUCCCCUCCUAACAUGCACAUUCAAACAAUUCAAUUAAUUACACAAAAACCAAGAUGCAGCACCUUCAACCAACUCUUGUGUCUUGUCAACAUUCCCCCAUCCAAAAGAGCCAUAACAGUACAUGCUUUCUGCUCUACUUCCCCCUCCUUCGGCUUCGCCGCCAACAUUCUAGCAACCCUCGUUACCUAACUCAUCAAGAAACACACACACUAUCAUCUUCUCCGAACCAUAUUACACGAAAUGUCGAAAAUCACGACACAAAGAAACACUACAAACACAACAACAGUAACCCAAGUGUGUAAAGUUUCUUACUUGCAUGCCAAGUUCCCUAGUGGGCACUACAAUGAGGGCCUGCACAGCCGAUCUCUGAGUCUUCACCACAGCAAAUAUCAACAGCAGAUACGUCAGCGUCUUCCCAGAACCUGUCUACACAAAUCACCAAACAACCCAAGGUUUAAACUUUUUCUUCCCAAAACUACCCCCGAACAAUCAAAGCAAUAUCGAAUUUAGACCUGCGCGUGGAGAAUGCAGUCCCGGCCGGAAAACAAAGCCGGCAGAGCUUGCCGCUGCACCGGCGUCGGCGCCACGUACCCCAGCUCCUCCAUUCUGCAGAGUAUGUGGUCCGGAACAUGGGUCCCGCAUAUUCGCCGGAGAGUGACGUCGGAGCCGGGUUCGACGGUGACUGAGGAGGAGCUCAGAACCGCCGGUAAAGGAGCGAAAUUUGAGACAAAAGAGUUGAAUGAGAAGAUUCUAGGGUUUGGGCUAGGGUUUAGGGAUUGAAAGGUCAAUUGGGUAUGGCGGGAUUUUGAGGUAUGAAUUGGGGGUAAGAGAAGGGGAGCUGAGAGUGUAGCCAUGGGAAGCAGUGUGAGGGUGUGGAGUGUGUGCUGGACUGUAGGGGAUUAUAGUUAGGCGGCAGAAGGAAACGGUGUCGUAUUGGGUGUACGUUUUGAUUUGUUUUUGGGGAUGGAUGGAGUUAAUGGGGUCACGUAGGUACACACGUCGGUAGGGGUGCGGUUGGAGUUGUUGGACGGUCAGUCCAAUGACAUGUCCUCUAAUUUAAGCUCUGAAAUCUACUAUCAUUGUACCUUUUUCUACGUUGGUCCUUGCCUUAAGCUGCAUUUCUUCUAAAGGGCUUGCUAUUUUCAUAAAUAUACAUCAUCAAUUACACAUAAUCAAAUAACGACAACAAAAAGAAAAAACAACACACCAUCAAACAAUAUAAUUUUUAGAAGGUAAGCUAGCCUAUGUGCAACACCAUUUGUUUCCAUACAAAUGUGACGAUUCGACCCACAUCAGAAAGUCUCAAUCUCCUCUAUUAGAAGCGGUAAUCAACUAGCUGGUUAGAGUAGAUUCACUUUCGACCAACCUUGGUGAAUGGUGAGUACUAAGUAAUAGAGCCACUUCACAUGCAUCCACCUCCACAUGUACAGCAUAUAGAGUAUGUCAUACCACUUUCCAAAGCAUGACAACUGAGAAUUAUAAUAACUAGUAAUCCGUUAGUCGACUUACGAUUUUCAUAUUUCAUGUCGUCCUAUUUAUGAACGAGAGACUUAUGUCACCAAAUCAAAUAAUAUCGAACUUAUUCUCAUGACAGAGUUGGAAAUUCUUCCUUCUAUCCCAAAUUUUUUUUAGGCCAAACCUUAACCCCUCAGCCACCGAGGCUCGAUGCAUGUAAGAUGACAGCUUGGUGAAUCAAACUCGGGUCGGGGUUUGUAAUUGGGGGCCUUGUAAUUUUGUUACCUAUAACAUUUGUUGCGAGGAAACUAGAAGUACGUGCUUGAGAGCAAUAACCCAAAACUUAAAGGAGGGAAUGACAAAUAGGGUAGAAAUAAAAUCAGAGUUAUUCCGAGUUUUGAUUCCAUCAACAAAUCAAAAGCGUGUGAAUCGGUUUUGUUCGCAGAGUUUUCUGAGCUCUCUUUUCAUCUUCUUCCCAUCUCCCCUUAAAAUUCUUUACUUUGACCCUGUACUCUCUCAUUCCCUCAUUUUGACACUUUUUCUAGGGUUCUUUUCUUCUUCUUCUCCUAUCUUCCUCCCCAUAAAGUCACUCCCUUUACCCUUUUCUUCCCACAUUGCUCCACCCAGAAAAAGAUGGCAUCUUUCGCUCCUUCUUCUUCUUCUUCUUCUUCUUCUUCUUCUGAUCAUAACCCAAUACCCUUCUGGACUCCGUCGCCGUCUGCAGCUGCUUUUCCUGACGAAGAAGACUCGUGCAGUAUCUGCCUCGAGCCUUUCUGCUCCGAUGACCCCUCCACUGUAAGAUCAUUUCCCAACUCCAUAAAGUUUCUGUCUUUUUUGUUGAAUUCGGUGACAGUCUUACUGGGUCUGUUUCGUAAUGUUGGAUCGGAAUAUAUAUAUGAGUGUUUCUGUUUUUCAAUGUGCUUUUGAAAAUGAAUUGUGAUCGACUGUGGUUUUGGUAAAUUUCAUGGAUUGAUUUUGUAGCCAUCAUAUAGCCUGAUUCUGUGAAUGAUGUUGUAUUAGAAGAGUCUCCAUCUAUAGAGUGUAUAGUGAUAGAAUUGGGUUGGAAAACAGUUUUUGUUGUUGUCAUUUCUAAUUUACAGGGUUUUGGUUUUAUGUCCCCCCUGUUGUAUGUAUUGGAUGAUUAUAGUAAAGGCGUGAGGAUGAGCCUCCUACUGGGUUACAAACCUCAAACAAAAUUUUUUGUCCUCUUAAAAAGCAGCCCUACCCAUUUAGAAUUCCUGGUUCAGCCACUGGUCAGGCAUCCUCAGUUUAUUGGUGAGGUGGGGAUUUGCGAUGAUGAUCAGUUGAAACUUGAAAGUUAUUUGGUGAAAGUGGUAGUAUAGAGUGGAGUGAUUUUCAAUUUAGAUGUUGAAUUGAGUGUUGACUCUGAGAAUUUGCGUGUUGUUUGUUUUUCAGAUUACCAGCUGCAAACAUGACUAUCAUCUUCACUGUAUAUUAGAAUGGUAAACCCAAUUCAAUUUACGAAUGACCCAUGCAAGUUGCUAUGUUGUAUGAAUUGUUUUUUCUUGUUGAACUUGAUGUUUAUUCAGGUCACAAAGAAGUAAAGAAUGCCCAAUUUGUUGGCAGUUACUUGUCUUGAAGGAUCCGGCUAGGUAUGGACCGUAUGGUACUUUUUUGAGUUCUGGAAUGUGCUACUUAUCCUUGAUCUCUCUAUGCUAAUCCUUAUUUGUUGAUUAACUACUGUGUUUUAGCCAAGGGCUUCUAGAUGCUGUACAAAAUGAGAAGCGCUCAAGGGCAAGAAACAUAUCUUCUAUUGCUCCCCCAACUUUUCACAAUUCCUCUGAGGACUUUGACUUUGAACAUGUGAGAUUCUAAUGAUUUAGAAAUUUUUUAUUACUUGUAAUUUUGAGAUAGGAUGCUUACUAAUGGGAAAAUUGUAUUUUUCAGGAUUCGUUCUCAGAUGACUCCGAUUUGGACGAGCGUAUUAUGCAGCAUCUUGCUGCUGCUUCUAGCAGGGCUCGUUAUGCACGCAGAAGGGAAAGACAGAGAUAUUCGGGACUGGCCCCUUCCAAUGGAUUUAAUUUUUCCCAUGCUGAAAAUGUGUCUGCUUUGGAGCAAGCACACCCAACUUCUCCUGAAGAACGUCCUAGUUUCACUUAUGGUUCACCAGGAGGUGAUUCACCAACUUCUCCAAGACCACACGUUGUUCAACCUCCACCAUCUUUUAUCUGCAGCACUGCUGCCAACAAUGAUGUUCCUUUCAAACCAAGGUAUUCCAUGAAGCUCAUGAAUGGAAUUUAAUACCCCCAGCCAGUCUCUGCAUUGUAUUGAUUCUAUUAGAAUGCAGUUUGCACUGAAAUAUCAAGUUAAAAAAAAGUAUUCUCCCAUGUAUAAAUGAAUCAUGAUCUGAACUUGGUCAUUCCAUUUUCCUUAUUUUCUACAGACCUUUUUCUGUUUGUUUUAAUGUGUAAUACCACUUCUUUGGUCAACACAGAGUUCUCUUUGGCCAGCCAACACCUAAUGGUUCACAGGGACAAAUCCCAUCCGAGAUGCUAAAUUUCCCAGAGUCUAUCAAGUCCAAGCUGUCUGCUGCUUCAGUCAGGUACAACUAUUUCUGCCUGCUGCACCCCAUUGAAGAUAAUAUUUACUCUUUACAGAAAAAAAAAAUGCUCUCGUCUAACAUUCACAUUGUCAAAGGUACAAAGAGUCCAUCUCAAAAGGAACUCGAGGUUUGAAGGAAAAGCUGUUUGCUCGUAACAACUCAGUCAAGGAGCUUAGCAAAGGAGUUCAACGUGAGAUGACUGCAGGAAUUGCUGGUGUUGCACGAAUGUUUGAGCGCCUAGACCUUACCUCAAAGAAUCCUGGUUCCCCUACGCCAGUUUCUGAUCGUAGCGGGGGUACUUCAAACUUCUCUGCCAAGGGAAAGGCUGUGUUAGAAAAUGUGAUUGUUCAGUGUUGCAAUAAAAGCAGUGGAAGAAUUUCUGAUGAAACUUCAGAAGCACCCUCUCACAUCAUCAGGCCGACUUGACGUUUCUGAGCAGGUCCGCAAAUAUUUAUUGUUUUUUUCUCUUUUGAUACGCCGGAAAUAUUUACCUGUUGGGAAUAAUUUUCUAAUGCUUAGUUAUUGCUUGGUAUUAUUAAUAUUUACAGUCGGAACACUAAUACCUGUUUUUCUUUUGCAGAACUGGCAAUGUUGCUACACGGUUUGGGUUUAGCUCAUCUAAAGAAUAAUUGUUUGUGUUUCAUUUCUCAAGCAUAUGGCAUGUUAGCAAGUGACGUUAUGGUUGGAGCCAAGCUGCUGGUUGGUUUGCGUCCUGCAUGGCCUAUUUAUGCAAUACAGAAGAACCUUAGUUAUUCCAUGUGAAUGAGUUAUGUGCCAUGUCCGGCACUGUUUUUGCUUUGUUGCUUAGUGUUGACAUGUAUUCUGGAGAAAACCUCCUCAUCUGUACCAGUUGCAAAUGGAUUCCAGGAAAUACAUUAUAUAUAUAUAUCAGUUGCCUCGACUGGUUUAACCAUUUUAUAAUAUACAUCUUAUUUUGCUUCAUUGUUUAUAUUGGUUUAGUGCAAAAGUACUAACAUAAUCAAGAAAGAAAAGAAAAUGAGUGUGGCUAUUGGGACUUCUAAAUUUGCUCACUAUAUCUCUCAUUCUCUCUACACAUCCAUUUUACUUUUCAAUAAAGUAUUUGCUCACUAGACCUCAUUUCAAAUUCCUCUCAUUCUUUGUUUUUUUUUUUUUUUUUUUAUUCAACNNNNNNNNNNNNNNNNNNNNUAUCUUUUAAUUGUUUUUCUCUUUUCUUACGUGUUAUUUUUUCUCUAUUUUUUUUCUUUUGAAUAAUUUGAUCUCUAUUUUGUACCUUAUAAUAAAUUAUUUUCAAUAAAUAUAUAUUGAUAGAUAUUAUUAUUAUUAUUAUUAUUUUGCAAAAAUAUUUAUGCACCUUGCAUUGCAAGUACAUGCGUUCGACAUGUAUGAUAAUACAAAAUUUUAUGUCACAUGAUCGAUAUUGAUUAUUUUUUUAGCUCUUAUAAACUAUAUAUAUGCUUUGAUAAAAAGAAAUUGGAAAAAAAAAUAUAUAAGAAAAAAAAUAAAUAUUGGAAUAAAUUUUUAUUGAAUUGGUAAGUCUAAAGAGAAUAAAUAUAAUACUUUCUUUUGUAUAAUUAUUGUCUUUAAUAGUUAUUGUAUAUGAGGCUGGAUAUGUCAUUUAAUAAUUUACAAAUAGAGUGAGGUCUAGUGAGCAAAUUUGGAGGUCUUAAUAGCCGCACUCAAAGAAAAGAUAAGCAGAGCUACAAAUUAGUUUUUACGGAUCCUACAGACUUACCUGUGGGUGUAAGGCAAAGGUGAUCUGACUCUCGUUCCUGUUCCAGGUUGAUAUCAGCUGGCUAUUGAAUUCACUCCCCUGAUGGUGUGCAUAUCUCUCAUUUCUGGUGGUAGAGAUGUGAUGAGUUCGAGUCACCUUUUUUUAGGCCCUCAAGUUAUCCACGGGAGUUCUUCGAACUUCUCCAUUUGCAUUGAGGAAUCUUCAGCAAAGAUGAGAAACUUUUGCAGUUUGCUCAUUUGUGAAGCCCCUCCAGGCCAAACUGUGGUCUUGCAAAAACUAAAAAUAGCUACUGCUUUGCAUGUUUUUUUCUUGGUUUUUACUUUGGUUUUGUUUUGUUUUUGUUUUUGACGAGUACUGCUUUGCAGGCUAUUCUCAGGCAUUUGUGUAAUAGCCAGACACAGGUCCUCUUCCAUACCUGCUUGCUAUAUGUUGCAGGGUCUCGAUUCUGAUAUCACAGUAAUUACUCUCUUUGAUGACAACUUAUCAAAAUUGAAACAUUUUAUGACUCGCCUGAACCUGUACUACCUAACUCCAGGAACAUCACCAGGGUACAUCAUGGCCUUUAUGUCCAAAUCCAAAAAUGAACACCUUAUGAUUCUCUUCGAUGUGGUUAAACCAACAUUUGUCACAAGGGCAGCAAUUUUCUUCCCAUUCUUAAUAAGCUGCAUGCACAUUUUCUAAUGGUGUAGGGCUGCUUAGCCUUAUUACCAAUUUUCAGAAUGUCUAUGAAUUGUCAGUGCCGCCUUUGUGUUCUACUCAGCCAAGUCAGCUCGCGACCUACUACUAUUUUCCCCAUGACGACACAACAAAAAAGAGUCUCAACCAAUGACUGCAAGUCUGCAACAGUCACUCACUAGCUUAGCGAUGGCGCUUUGACAGUAUUCAACUUCCUUGCUCUUCAAAAUCCGCUUCACGAGCCUCGCAGUGCUUUGACAGUAUUUUCUGGACAUUGCAAUUUAUAUCUAAGAAGAGGAGCUUGGAAUUACUCAGAUCAGUCAUAUCCAUUAUAUGAUUUAUAUGCCAUUGCAUAUAUGCAUGUUAUCUGUACGUGUGUGUCUGUUUGAUUUCAACUUCUUUACUAAAGACUUCCAAUGCGUAUCAUAAUAUGUAAAAGUACAAAUUCAUACGUUCCAGUUUAGUCAAAAUCUUCUCAUAUUAUUAUUAGAGUUCAAUUGGAGCUGGCAUGUAAACUAGAUUCAAUGAUAAACAAGACGAGAGUUAUUUCCUCAAGUCACACAGACAACUAAACAUGACAAAUCCAAACUACAAAAACGGAGUAAAACAAACUAAAGUACUAUAUUCCAGGGCACCAGAGGCGGUCACUUCCACAGUCACUACACCUGUCUGAGAUUACCCCUUUAUUUUCAAACUUAACUUCUACAUCACUAGUGUUUGAACUCUUGGGAUACAUCAAAAUUUCCUUCUGGAACUUCUCUUCUGUGAUAUGACGAGUCUUAAAGAGAAGAAUACCACAGGUGACUAUAGUCAUAUGCCUCAGAACUUCACCAUAUCCCAACUGGAUCAUCAUGUCCCGUGUUGAGUUAUAGAAACAGUCUUGAGGUGUGAAACCACACAAAUAGGCACAAUCUCUGGUGGCUCGAAAGGAAUGUAUCCUUCAUAUUCUUCAUCAUACCAUGUUCUGAAAUCAAUGUCUAAGACAAGAUCUUCAAGCUUAGGUGUUCGCUUGAGUAACUCCAUUACAUAUUCCAAAUAAGAGCAACCAAAAAGAUUGAGCUUCAAUUGCUUCACGUUACUAAAGUUUGGCAGUGAACAUGUCUCAAAUUUUAAACCUGGUAGAUUCAAAUACUCAACCCUGGAAACUCCUGCAAGUAAAGCAGUUUCACAGUUCAAAAGCCAUGGACUUACUUUUCGAAUAUAUGUGUUUUCUAUGUCGGCUUUGACCAGGGAGUUUACAUUCUGCAUGAUAUAUUUUGCAGGAUUUAAAACAUAGACAACAAGGUUUUGAAGCUUUGGGGCAUUGAUAGUAAUCUCUUCCUCUGUUUGACUGUCUGCAUAAAUUCUUGUUCUUAAAGUUUGCAAUUCAGGGCAGCAGCAAAAAAAUUUCUCAAUGAGGAAUUAUCUCCAUUUGUUGCUGUAAUAUCAGCGAACUUGAGGCUAGGAAAACAACCUGGACUAGUAGAUGGAUAGGUAAUACAAUUUGAAUGGACCUUCAAAACCUCCAGAGUUUUGCACCGGACAACUCUUCUAGGCAGUUUCAACUCUAACUUGUCUGAGUUGUCUCUCCAGGACUGAGUAGGGUUAAAAUAAAGAUCAAGUUCAGAAAGCUCAUGCCUCAUGGCAGCACAUAUCCAAUUUCGAAUGCGAGAAAAAUGUUUCUCUUGAACAUUGUAAAUGUUUUCAAUAUGAAGACGAAACUUGUAAGGAAAAUAGUCUUUAGAUAGAAAGAAGAUCAGCUGUAUCUCAUCAGCAGUAUAACCCUAUUAGACAGUAUCUUCUUUAUUAGGGAUUUACUUAUCUGUAUAUAUAUGUUUCCUUAUAGAGUUUAGUUUCCAAGUCAGUCACAAUUACUCUUGUAUAUGUAUUCCCUCUGUAUCAAUGAAAGAUUAUUCCACCAGAACUAUUAUCUUUUCAUGGUACCAGAGCAGUGAUAAGAUCCUGUUCUAUCGUUGCACUCUAAUUUCUCGUGCAGCCUCCCUAUCUCAGCCAAUCCCAUCAUCUCCAAAACCUGACUGUUCUAUUCCUAAGACCUCAGAAUCCUCAAAAUCCUCACCACCAAAAAUUGAUUCUGUUCCAAAGGAUUCAGAAACCUUAUUAGAGGUUUCAAGUCCCUAUCUCAUUCACCAUUCCGAUCAUCCUCGAUUGGUUCUCAUCUCCAAACCCUUGAAUGGAGACAAUUUCUCUGGUUGGAAAAGGGCUAUGGUUCGAGCCUUAAAUUCCAAGAAAAAGCUCGGAUUCGUCAAUGGCUCUAUUAAAGCUCCUUCAGAAACAGCUGACCCUAAUGGUUAUGCGAUUUGGUCAAGGUGUAAUGACAUGGUCCACUCUUGGAUCGUUAAUUCUUGCGAUCCAGAAAUAGCCGAAAGUGUGACCUAUUAUCCUACUGCCUAUGAAGUUUGGGAGGAUCUUCAUGAACGCUUUUCUCAAGCAAAUGCGACACGCAUCUUUGAGAUUCAGAGAGAUAUCAACUCUCUUCGACAAGAACAACUCUCAGUUUCAGUCUAUUACACAAAGUUGAAGGCUUUAUGGGAUGAAUUAUCAACACUUGAUGCAACACAACAAACAGAUCAACAGAAAUUGAUGCAAUUCCUUAUGGGAUUGAAUGAAACAUACCAGGCUAUCCGAGGACAAAUUCUUCUCAUGAAGCCUCUGCCCACUGUUCGACAAGCCUUCUCCUCUGUCCUUCAAGAAGAAAAGCAACGUCUGAUUGCUUCAUCCCACAUGGUGGAAGACUCCGGCAGCGCUGCCAUGGCAGUCCAAUCCGAGAAUAACAGGUCGGCACCGGAAGCAAGGAAUGAUCAAGCUAAUCGGUUUUCUGGAAAUAACAAUCGGUUUUCUGGAGGAGACCGCUCUAAUCGCAGCACCUGGAAUGAUCGAACAGAGCGUGGUGGAGGAACUCAUCGCGGCUCCUGGAAUGGAGGACGACGGGGUGAUCAAAACCACCGUCGUUUUGGGUCAGAAAGACGAAGGCCUCAAUGUACCUAUUGUGGUGAUAUGGGCCACUGGGUUCAGACUUGUCACAAAUUACAUGGAUACCCAGAAGGCCACCCUAAAGCAAGAGAUAAUCCAGGUAAUUUUAACAGAACAGCUGCUGCUAAUUAUGCUUCAGAGGAGAGGUUGGUUUCGAUUCCAGAAGACCAACUAAAACAAUUGCUGUCACUUAUCCCCAAAACUCAAGAUGAGGACUCCAAUAACAAAACCAGGUUUGUCUAAAGUUGCUUCCCGCAAUUGGAUUAUUGAUAGCGGGGCAACCGAUCAUAUUACUUCCUCGUCUAAAUUAUUGCAUAAAGUUGAAGAUUAUUAUUCGUUGCCAUCGGUAUCAUUACCUAGUGGAGAGCAAGCCAAAAUUGUUGCAAAAGGAUCUUUUCCUUUGAAUUCCGAUUAUUAUGUGCAUGAUGUAUUAUCAGUGCCUACAUUCAAAGUUGAUCUGCUGUCUGUUAGUCGUUUGACGAGAAAUUUGAAUUGUUCAGUGACAUUUUAUCCAUAUUGGUGUAUUUUGCAGGAUCUGGCUACAAGGAAGACGAUUGGUUUGGGUAAGCUACGUGACAGACUAUAUUACCUAGCGGCACUAGCAACGGAGAAAUCUUUGACCAAACAAUCCUCACCAUCUAACAGACCAGCAUGUCACCUCACCACCUCUUCCACCGAUCUCUGGCACAGUCGGCUAGGCCAUGUAUCACCUUCUCGUUUGAGUUUCAUUGCCAAGAAUUUUUUGAAUUUUUCCAUUCAGUCAAAUAAUGCUUGCCCUAUAUGUCCUUUGGCUAAGCAAAGUCGUCUGCCUUUUCCUACCAAUGUUAUUUCUUCAACAAAACCUUUUGAGAUUAUUCAUUGUGACAUUUGGGGUCGUUAUCGACAUCCUUCUCUUUCUGGUUCCCAUUAUUUUCUCACUAUUGUUGAUGAUUAUACACGUUUUACAUGGAUAUUUCUGAUGCGAUUCAAAAAUGAAGCACAACCAAUUAUAAAACGUUUCUUUAGUUAUGUUUUCACUCAAUUUGAGUCUCGCAUUAAAACCCUUCGAAGUGACAAUGGUGGUGAGUUUCUUUCACUUCGUCCCUUUUUUCAAGACAACGGUGUUAUCUUUCAGCACUCUUGUGUUUACACACCUCAACAAAAUGGGGUUGUGGAACGCAAACACCGUCAUAUCCUUCAAGUAGCCCGAGCUUUGAAAUUCCAUGCUCAACUUCCUACCGAAUUUUGGGGGGAGUGUGCGCUUACCGCUGUUCAUAUCAUUAAUCGGCUCCCUUCUCCUCUACUCUCUUUUAAAACACCAUAUGAAUUGCUUUACUCAUCACCACCUUCUUACUCUCAUCUCCGUGUUUUCGGUUGUUUAGCCUAUGCUACAAAUGUUCACACAUCACAUAAAUUUGAUCAUCGUGCCAAGCAAUCCAUUUUCAUCGGCUAUCCUAUUGGGCAAAAAGAUUACAAAUUGUACGAUUUAUCUACAAAAACAAAUCUUUACUAGCCGAGAUGUCAUAUUUCAUGAACACAUCUUCCCAUAUGCCUCUCCUCCGUCCAGCCUCAUUCCUUCUUCGCCAGCCCAAUCUUCCAGCCCAACUCCUUCGCAGGCCCAAUCUUCAAGUCCAACUCCUCUUGUUGACUUCUUUUUUGAUCAGUCUCCUUCUCCUAACUCUCAGCCAUGCGCCUCACACCCUCAGAAACCCAGUUCCGAUCCCGAAACCUCCACCACACCACGGCCUCCAUCUCCCGACCCUACUCCGAUCACUCCGACGCCACCCCUUUCUUCCGGUCCCACUCCGAUUUCUCCGGUGCCUUCCAUCAAGACCUAUUCUCGCCGUCCUAAGUCCAUCCCCAUACCUCCUCCUCUUCCGGCCUCUCCAUCUCCGUUCGCUCCACAUUCGUCUUCUCUUCCUCCGGCAUCUCCUUCUCCGGCUUCGCCUUCCAUGGCGCCGCCUUCUCCACCAUCAAAUCCUCCUGAUUCUAUGGCUGAGUCUGUGCUCCCAUCCACAGCAACCCAACCAACACCCACUGCUCCGCUCAGUCGCUCAAGCCGCCACGUUGUCCCACCGGUCAAACUGACCGAUUAUGUCUGCUCGUAUGCCCACUCCGAUCACUCGUCUUCCUUGACUCCAGGUCCGACACGAGGUACGCGUUAUCCAUUGGUGAACUAUGUUUCCUAUCAUCGAUAUACGCCUGCUUAUAAACGGUUUGUUGCUCAAAUUAGUGCUGCCACAGAACCUAGGUCUUAUAUGGAGGCCGCUGCUCAUCCUGAGUGGCAGGCAGCCAUGGAUUCCGAGUUGCAAGCUCUCCAGGCCAAUGGCACAUGGUCUCUUACCAAACUUCUAGUGGGUAAGAAGCCAAUUGGUUGUCGAUGGGUAUAUAAGAUAAAGCACAAGUCUGAUGGUUCGAUUGAAAGAUACAAGGCUCGCUUGGUGGCACAAGGCUUCACUCAACUUGAAGGUAUUGAUUAUCAAGACACAUUUUCCCCUACGGCCAAGAUUAUCACAGUCCGCUGCCUUCUUGCUUUAGCUGCAGCCCGGCGCUGGCCUUUGCACCAAAUGGAUGUCAACAAUGCUUUCCUUCACGGUGAUUUACAGUAAGAGAUAUACAUGUCCCUGCCACCAGGGCUCCGGCGACAGGGGGAGGAUGGCAUGGUUUGUCGCCUUCACAAGUCACUAUAUGGCCUGAAACAAGCUUCUCGCCAAUGGUUUGCCAAGUUUACUGAAGCCAUUCGAUCUGCGGGUUUUGUGCAAUCUCGAGCAGACUAUUCUCUCUUCACCAAGAAACAAGGCAAGUCCUUUACUGCUCUUUUGAUAUAUGUCGACGAUAUAUUGAUUACUGGAAAUGAUCAUCAAGGUAUUGCUGCCACUAAAAAAUUCCUGCAUAGUCAUUUUCAUAUCAAGGAUCUUGGUGACUUAAAAUACUUUCUUGGCAUUGAGGUUUCUGCUUCUGAAAAUGGGAUUUUUAUUUCCCAACGUAAAUAUGCACUGGAGAUUAUUGAGGAUGCAGGACUAUUGGGCGCAGCCCCUAUUGAUACACCAAUGGAACGAAGUUUAAAAUUGUCUGAUAAGACUGAAUUGCUCAAAGAUCAAGGUCGCUACAGGAGAUUGGUUGGAAGACUAAUAUAUUUGACUGUUUCAAGACCGGACAUUACUUAUGCAGUUCAUGUCUUGAGUCGGUUUAUGCAUGAACCGAGAAAAGCUCAUAUGGAGGCGGCACUUAGAGUAGUGCGUUACCUCAAGAGUGCUCCUGGUCAAGGUCUCUUUUUCUCCUCCAACAAUGAUCUGAAACUGAGAGCAUUUUGUGAUUCGGAUUGGGCAGGCUGCCCACUUACUAGACGUUCCACUACAGGAUACUGUGUGUUUCUUGGACCUUCAUUAAUCUCUUGGAGAUCAAAGCGUCAGAAAACUGUAUCUCUUUCAUCGGCAGAGGCAGAAUAUCGUGCUAUGACUGGAACAUGUUGUGAGUUAACAUGGCUGCGAUACUUACUUAGAGACUUGGGAAUAAUGCAUCAUGAACCUGCCUCCUUAUAUUGUGACAAUAAAGCAGCACUGCACAUAGCAGCGAAUCCGGUGUUUCAUGAACGAACCAGGCACAUUGAGAUGGAUUGCCAUUAUAUCAGAGAUAAAAUUCAAGACGGAUCUAUUGUUACAAGAUUCGUGAGUUCAUCACAUCAGUUGGCAGACGUUUUGACCAAAGCUUUGGGGAAGGAAACUUUUGUUCCCAUGAUACGCAAGUUGGGAGUGCAGGAUAUCCACUCUCCAACUUGAGGGGGAGUGUAAGGAAAAUAGUCUUUAGAUAGAAAGAAGAUCAGCUGUAUCUCAUCAGCAGCAUAACCCUAUUAGACAGUAUCUUCUCUAUUAGGGAUUUACUUAUCUGUAUAUAUAUAUGUUUCCUUAUCGAGUUUAGUUUCCAAGUCAGUCACAAUUACUCUUGUAUAUGUAUUCCCUCUGUAUCAAUGAAAGAUUAUUCCACCAGAACUAUUAUCUUUUCAAAACUUUCUGAUCGUUGGUGGGUUGUGUAACUUAAGUGCACCAUCAACAAAGUCGGCAAAUUUCUCAAAUGUCGUCCAACUUCGAUCACCAUAAUCAAAGUCUAGGGUAGGGGCGAAGGUCCAUAAGUUCUUCCAGCCUUUAGACAAAACCGUGGUUCGAACAGAACACAAAUACAGGAUAGUAUAUGAACACGAAUAUCGUGUGGCAAUUGGCUGAUCCUAUCUUCGGCUCCUUUUUGACGUUUUGAUUUCGAACCCUCUUGCUCCUUUUCGACGUUUUGAUUUCGAACCCAUUAGUUCCUCUCGCCGCGUUUAUGGUUUGCAUGAAGGCGCUUUUAUAAAUUAUAAGAGAGUUGUACUUGUGGUGAUGGGGAAGGUUUCCUAGUACACAUUGGAAACUAAAACUAAAUUAGCACUCAACAUCGGGUCAUCAUGUUCUUAGCACUCAACAGUCAACACUCCAACUAAACUACUGCGUCCACCCCAAUCUGAUCUACUGGACAAAAGUAGAGGCCACGAGGAGGCAUGUUCCUUCCUUGUGGUGGAUGGAUUCCUAGUACCAUACUGCUUUGGCUUCCAAUACAUCAAAAAGGCUAUUUUCCUAUCCCUAAAAUAACAGCCUAAAAACCCAAUCCACUAUGGAAUUGGAGAAAGUCAUCGUUCAAAAUAAUAUAUAUAAGACUUGUAGACUUGUAAUAACGGGAAAAGAAAACGUACGAGCAAAAUAGAAGAAGAAUGGAUUGCAGGAUUUAGCAGAAGCAUGCAAACAAGGCCAAACAGACAACAAAAAGAAUGGCGUCGGAAGCUAUACGCCACGACAGGAUCAGUCAAUUACCAGAUGUUGUUCUCUCUCACAUACUUUGUUUCCUUCCCACGAGAGAUGCCAUACAAACAACUAUUUUGUGUAAAAGAUGGAACAAACUUUGGAUUUCCAUUCCCAACCUAGACUUGGACUACAAUGUAAUUUCAAGACAUGUAUUUGAAAAGUUUGUUGAUGGCGUUCUUUCACUGCAUGCCUCUUCAAACAUCCAAAAGUUUCGUCUAUGUAGUGAAGGAAAUUGCUAUAAUAAUUGUGGAGAUGAGCAUUUGACUCGCACUUCUGGAUGGAUAUGCAAAGCCAUGAAGCAUAACAUCGUUGAACUUGAUCUUGGGAUAUAUGAUACAAGAUUCAAAGACCUUGAAUUGCCUGACAGCUUUUUCACAUGCAAAACUCUUGUGGCUUUAAAGGUGAGUUCAAAUUGUAUUAACCUUGCUCCUCCUCCUUCGGCAUCAACUUGUUUUCCAAGUCUCAAGUCCCUCCACUAUAGCCUUUACAGGCCUGAUAGUGCCUCAGUGUUCGAUUUGCUCGUUUCCAAGUGUCCUGUGCUUGAAGACUUGACCAUUGAUGCAGAAAUAUUUGCAGAAGAUGUAUAUACUUUAGAUAUCCCUGCAGCAGGAUUGAAAACGUUUAGAUUUCUAGGUACCAGCUUUCUUGUUGGGAGAAAGUACAGUUUUUCUUUCAAUUCCCCAAAGCUUGAAAACCUUGUUGUCUCGGAUAGAGCUGGUUUAGCCAAUUACUACUUUUCCAACAAUGCAAAAGCCAUGGUUAAAGCUGUGAUCCAUUCAAUACAUGGCUACAAAGACGACAAUAUCAAUCAUGUUGUUAGAGCACCUCCCUUUACUUGAACAAGUCUCCGGUGUUAAAUAUUUGUCUCUUUACAGUCCAAGGUUUUUGCCACGUUCUCUGCCUUGCUUCAAUAAUUUGAAGCGUUUGGAGGUUAGUGUGUUUCUUUGCUCUUAUUGGGGAUAUGUAAUGGAGCUGCUGAAGAGGUCACCAAAUCUGGAAGGUAUUGUUCUGGAUAUUUGCACUCGGACAUGGGCUAAACAAAACUAUGUCGAAGGGUACCAGCCCUUCAAUCACCAAAGGAUGUUCCUGUCUGUGUUUCCUCGCACCUCAAGACCAUCUACAUCAUUAAUUUUAUGGGAUACGACGAUGAGUUUGAUGUGGUAAAAUAUUUGAUGAAGAACAGUAAAGUUCUCAGGAGGUUAUUUAUUUCAACCCGUGAGAGUUAUCUUUACAACACUCGUCGAAUGACAAUUGAGAAGCUGCAGAAGAAAGCUUCAAAUUUCGAGAGACGCUCAAAGACUUGUGAGAUUGAAAUAUUGAUCAACUCUGAGAGUCAGGAGCGCGAAAGAUGCAGAUGUGGAUCGUGAGUGUGGAUAUUGUUAUCUUCCUAGUUCCUAGUAUGAAUUCUACUUGGAGCAAACCUGUACAUUUGUUUUGAGUCAUAAUUGGCCGUACUCUAGUAUGAUUUCAACUGGGAGCAAACCUGUAUAUUUGUUUUGUGAGUCAUACUUCUUAAUAUUAUGGUGAGAUAAAUUAUGAAACUUGAAGCCACAAAUAUUAUUCCUCAUUGCUAGAAUGUAUUGGGUUGAUGGUAUACCAAGCUUGUUAAGUUUUAGCCUUCUGGUAUUAAAACUUGAACCAAUUGGAUUACUGGGGCAUGAUUGGGAUAUGAUAAUAUGGUGAAGGUAACUCUUUCCAUCAUAGUUGAGCCAUUUAGCAUCUGCCCUAUUAUAAAAGAUAAAGUUACUCAAAGAGUAGUUUGAAGCCUGCAUAGCAAGCAUAUUAUUUGAAAGGAGAACAACUACAGUGGUCCAGGACUAAUAUUU
rnacentral:lncRNA from 1 species